rnacentral:rRNA from 1 species
ACUACCGGGCUUGCUCGGUAGGAAAGUGGCGCACGGGUGCGUAACGCGUAUGCAACCUACCUUAAUCAGGGGGAUAGCCCGAAGAAAUUCGGAUUAACACCGCAUAAAAACACAGGAUAGCAUUAUCCAAUGUUCAAAUAUUUAUAGGAUUAAGAUGGGCAUGCGUGUCAUUAGCUAGUUGGCGGGGUAACGGCCCACCAAGGCGACGAUGACUAGGGGAUCUGAGAGGAUGACCCCCCACACUGGUACUGAGACACGGACCAGACUCCUACGGGAGGCAGCAGUAAGGAAUAUUGGUCAAUGGAGGGAACUCUGAACCAGCCAUGCCGCGUGCAGGAAGACGGCCCUCUGGGUUGUAAACUGCUUUUAUUCGGGAAUAAACCUACUUACGUGUAAGUAGCUGAAUGUACCGAAGGAAUAAGGAUCGGCUAACUCCGUGCCAGCAGCCGCGGUAAUACGGAGGAUCCAAGCGUUAUCCGGAUUUAUUGGGUUUAAAGGGUGCGUAGGCGGCCUGUUAAGUCAGGGGUGAAAGACGGUAGCUCAACUAUCGCAGUGCCCUUGAUACUGAUGGGCUUGAAUGGACUAGAGGUAGGCGGAAUGUGACAAGUAGCGGUGAAAUGCAUAGAUAUGUCACAGAACACCGAUUGCGAAGGCAGCUUACUAUGGUCUUAUU